rnacentral:rRNA from 1 species
GCAGUAGCCGCGGGAAUACGGAGGGUGCAAGCGUUAAUCGGAAUUACUGGGCGUAAAGCGCACGCAGGCGGUCUGACAAGUCAGAUGUGAAAUCCCCGGGCUUAACCUGGGAACUGCAUUUGAAACUGUCAGGCUGGAGUCUUGUAGAGGGGGGUAGAAUUCCAGGUGUAGCGGUGAAAUGCGUAGAGAUCUGGAGGAAUACCGGUGGCGAAGGCGGCCCCCUGGACAAAGACUGACGCUCAGGUGCGAAAGCGUGGGGAGCAAACAGGAUUAGAUACCCCUGUAGUCCCUGUCUCUUAUAC